rnacentral:rRNA from 1 species
CAGUAGGGAAUCUUCCACAAUGGGCGAAAGCCUGAUGGAGCAACGCCGCGUGUGUGAUGAAGGGUUUCGGCUCGUAAAACACUGUUGUAAGAGAAGGAUGACAUUGAGAGUAACUGUUCAAUGUGUGACGGUAUCUUACCAGAAAGGAACGGCUAAAUACGUGCCAG